rnacentral:misc_RNA from 1 species
CUAGCAGGCUUGUUCGGGUUGCGUCUCGUUCCUCCGGCAGCUUCUUCUCCUUGUGAGGUGUUGCCGGUGCGGGCGUCGUAGCUCGACUUGCGAUGGGAAGACGCAUGAGUGGUAGCUAGGAUAUGAUUCCCACGCGGGCUCCGUGUACCUUGCAUCGAACUGCCUGGGUCUAUCCUCUUCAUUCGUGAGUUCGCCGCGACCGAUUCCUGGUCGAUUGCGACCGCUCGUAGGGUUCCUGUGCUCGAUAUUCGAUUCGGUAGCUGGAUGGAUCGUUGUUCCCCGUCUUGGAUCAGAGAUCGUCCUUCGCCUCGUGAGGCGUUGGCGGUCAUCGUCCGGGCAUCUACGUAUUCCUUGCGAGCGGAUGUCUCCCUUCGGGCGCUUCCGCUCGCGACGGCACGCGGAUGCUUCCGGCACUCACGGGUAUGGAGGCCUUGCCGGUUGUCGGGCGGGUCCUCGUCGACCCGCGCGACCGUAACGACGUAUAGAAGCGUUCUCGCUUCUGCUCGCAUAACCCCCUCGUGCUCUCUCGAGGGCUCACGGAGCCCGGGGUUCGGUGUUCUCCUCGGGGAGCCGUCGAGGUCUGCGAAGGAACGCUACCUGGUUGAUCCUGCCAGUAGUCAU